AGAAACACAGUUAUCCCACUUUUCUCCCCAAUUUAGCUUUAGCUGUUCGAAUUGCUGCUGAUGCAGCUUUGCAGAGUAGCCAGUACCAUCUACCCACCCGGAGAGAACAAGGCCAAUUGUGCUUUCUCAGGGCUCUGGUGGCUGAUGGCAAGCUGCAGGACCAGGAUUUAAAACAGGGAUCUCCUGAUCACAGUACCAGCACUUGGAGACCACAUCUCCCUCAUCUACUAUCUUGCCACAGACAGUAGCUGUGAGUGAAGGAGGUCAGAGGUCAGGAGUCGAUCGGAGGGGCGGCGGCCAGUCGAUGGUCAUUCGAUGUGAGAGCCGUGGGUUCUGUCGGAUCCCGCAUGACCCGCGUCCCGUUCCGCUUCCCUGCGGAUUUAACAGAUUUACCGUCCCGCAGGCUGCCCUGACCAGGUCAACCACAGUGGAUCGAUGCUACACCACAGCGGUCUCGAUGUCUACAAUCAACACAAUCACAGCAGUCUGAGAGGAGGACGCAGCAGACGAGACUGAUGUCGUUGCAACAAGAGGAAAAUUACACUGUUCUCCAUUCCCGGUCUGCAAUCGUUUAUUCCAGCAUCCUCUAAACAUACAUUAACUUCUCUCCACGGCGCACGGUGCGACUCAACACGCAGAGUGGCGCGUGGGCGAGCGAGCCAUUACACUCAGCAGGUUCAUUUCUCCAUUUCUUCUCUCGCUCCGUUUACUCGCACCAAGCUCCGGCAAGCUCCGGCGUUCACCAGCGGCCUCCUGGUGGAUCACAGUCCCAGUGUUGCUAAAGAGCGUCACACUAGCGCUGAGGAUGUCCUUGGGUUUGGAGAGAGUCUUCACACAAUGCUGAGAGGACUCAAGGUAACCUGUGGCUCACUAGCGUUUG
rnacentral:lncRNA from 1 species